rnacentral:rRNA from 1 species
CCUACGGGGCGCAGCAGUGAGGAAUAUUGGUCAAUGGACGCAAGUCUGAACCAGCCAUGCCGCGUGCAGGAAGACGGCUCUAUGAGUUGUAAACUGCUUUUGUACGAGGGUAAACGCAGAUACGCGUAUCUGUCUGAAAGUAGCGUACGAAUAAGGAUCGGCUAACUCCGUGCCAGCAGCCGCGGUAAUACGGAGGAUUCAAGCGUUAUCCGGUUUUAUUGGGUUUAAGGGGUGCGUAGGCGGUCGGGUAAGUUAGUGGUGAACUCCCGCGGCUCAACUUCGGAAUUGCCGCUGAUACUGUUCGGCUCGCGAGUAGUUGCGGUAGUCGGAAUGUAUGGUGUAGCGGUGAAAUGCUUAGAGAUCAUACAGAACACCGAUUGCGCAGGCAGCUUACCAAGCUACUUCUGACGUUGAGGCACGAAAGCGUGGGGAGCAAACAGGAUUAGAUACCCUAGUAGUC